AACGAACGCUGGCGGCAUGCCUAACACAUGCAAGUCGAACGAGACCUUCGGGUCUAGUGGCGCACGGGUGCGUAACGCGUGGGAACCUGCCCUUAGGUUCGGAAUAACUCCCCGAAAGGGGUGCUAAUACCGGAUAAUGUCUUCGGACCAAAGAUUUAUCGCCUUUGGAUGGGCCCGCGUUGGAUUAGCUAGUUGGUAGGGUAAAAGCCUACCAAGGCGACGAUCCAUAGCUGGUCUGAGAGGAUGAUCAGCCACACUGGGACUGAGACACGGCCCAGACUCCUACGGGAGGCAGCAGUGGGGAAUAGUGGACAAUGGGCGAAAGCCUGAUCCAGCAAUGACGCGUGAGUGAUGAAGGCAUUAGGGUUGUAAAGCUCUUUUACCCGGGAUGAUAAUGACAGUACCGGGAGAAUAAGCUCCGGCUAACUCCGUG
rnacentral:rRNA from 1 species